ACGCACUCGGGAGGCUCUGACACGCAGCCCAUGCCCACGGCCGCCGGGACCGCGCCGAGCCACUGGCGAGACCGACCCGUCGCCA
rnacentral:ncRNA from 1 species